AUGACUGCAAUGAAGAGAAGAGUAACUUAAAUGCUUAACGAUUAUAAGAGAGCCCUGUUUGGUGAGAAGGGGUAGUUUAAGAUUAGGUGAAGAUGAGUUUGGAGCAGUUUAAAUGGUUAACGCUGUUUAGACGGUUACACCCGAUAUCGUGUACAGUAUUAGUAGAUACUGAUGAGCUAUUAUUUGUAAGGAUAAUAGAAAUUAGGGUGGUAACGCGAUUUUUCGUCCCUUCU
rnacentral:ncRNA from 1 species